rnacentral:rRNA from 1 species
AUUGAACGCUGGCGGCAGGCUUAACACAUGCAAGUCGAGCGGGGAAAGGUAGCUUGCUACCUGACCUAGCGGCGGACGGGUGAGUAAUGCUUAGGAAUCUGCCUAUUAGUGGGGGACAACAUCUCGAAAGGGAUGCUAAUACCGCAUACGUCCUACGGGAGAAAGCAGGGGACCUUCGGGCCUUGCGCUAAUAGAUGAGCCUAAGUCGGAUUAGCUAGUUGGUGGGGUAAAGGCCUACCAAGGCGACGAUCUGUAGCGGGUCUGAGAGGAUGAUCCGCCACCCUGGGACUGAGAAACGGCCCAGACUCCUACGGGAGGCAGCAGUGGGGAAUAUUGGACAAUGGGGGGAACCCUGAUCCAGCCAUGCCGCGUGUGUGAAGAAGGCCUUUUGGUUGUAAAGCACUUUAAGCGAGGAGGAGGCUACCGAGAUUAAUACUCUUGGAUAGUGGACGUUACUCGCAGAAUAAGCACCGGCUAACUCUGUG